UACAUGCAGUCGAGCGAACCGAUUAAGAGCUUGCUCUUAAGAAGUUAGCGGCGGACGGGUGAGUAACACGUAGGUAACCUGCCUAUAAGACUGGGAUAACUCCGGGAAACCGGGGCUAAUACCGGAUAACAUUUUGCACCGCAUGGUGCGAAAUUGAAAGGCGGCUUCGGCUGUCACUUAUAGAUGGACCUGCGGCGCAUUAGCUAGUUGGUGAGGUAACGGCUCACCAAGGCGACGAUGCGUAGCCGACCUGAGAGGGUGAUCGGCCACACUGGGACUGAGACACGGCCCAGACUCCUACGGGAGGCAGCAGUAGGGAAUCUUCCGCAAUGGACGAAAGUCUGACGGAGCAACGCCGCGUGAGCGAUGAAGGCCUUCGGGUCGUAAAGCUCUGUUGUUAGGGAAGAACAAGUGCUAGUUGAAUAAGCUGGCACCUUGACGGUACCUAACCAGAAAGCCACGGCUAACUACGUGCCAGCAGCCGCGGUAAUACGUAGGUGGCAAGCGUUAUCCGGAAUUAUUGGGCGUAAAGCGCGCGCAGGUGGUUUCUUAAGUCUGAUGUGAAAGCCCACGGCUCAACCGUGGAGGGUCAUUGGAAACUGGGAGACUUGAGUGCAGAAGAGGAAAGUG
rnacentral:rRNA from 1 species